CAAACUGUAGCUUAACCAAAGCCUCUCGCUUACACC
rnacentral:tRNA from 1 species